rnacentral:tRNA from 1 species
GCAGGUAGAGCUCAGUGGUGGAGUGCAUGCUUAGCAUGCAUGAGGUCCUGGGUUCAAUCCCCAGUACCGCCU